rnacentral:lncRNA from 1 species
AGCCUUGCAUGCCGGAGCCUGGAACAUGUGAGGAGCUAUUUUGGUCAGAAUCCUGGGACAUGGGGAACAGAAGCUGACACAGGAUAUGUUAAGCAAACAAACAAAUGUAUUAGAAGAAUCUAGAAUAGCUCAUAGUAAAGAAGAAAAAGUUGAAGAAUCUAAGUUCUUAAAAGAAAAAAACAAUCGAAGAUAGGCUAGGAAUUUAGCUUGGAGGAAUCGUGCAGAUUCCUCUGUUCCGAGGCAACUAGGGUGAAAUUAUUGGAUCCAUUUUGCUUCUGUGUCACUGCUCUGGACACUGGGAUUCCAGGUCAAGACUAUCUGACAGCUUCAUUAGCAGGAAGAGAUUCGGUGCUGUACUGGGGAGCUAGCUACACAGAAGUAGUCCUAAGCGUGGUCAACUCAACAUCUCCAGCUCAGCCUCUUCCAGUUCGCUAUCUUCCAAAUUCUGAAUCCGCUUGCUGGACAUCUCCUCACCAGGCUAGUAUAUGCGCUCGCGCUCUCUCUUUCUCCUCAGAAGCAAGCAGGGAUGUGUGUGUGUGUGUGUGUACAGCUUAAAAUGUUGGAGAAGGGAAGACAAGUAAAGGGGGUGACGUUGGCUACAAGCAUGGUGGAUACCAUGGGUCCCUGAGGAAAUAAACUGUUUGCGGUUUUCCCCCAGA